rnacentral:rRNA from 1 species
GAGUUUUGAUCUUGGCUCAGAUUGAACGCUGGCGGCAGGCCUAACACAUGCAAGUCGAACGGUAACAGGAAACAGCUUGCUGUUUCGCUGACGAGUGGCGGACGGGUGAGUAAUGUCUGGGAAACUGCCUGAUGGAGGGGGAUAACUACUGGAAACGGUAGCUAAUACCGCAUAACGUCGCAAGACCAAAGAGGGGGACCUUCGGGCCUCUUGCCAUCGGAUGUGCCCAGAUGGGAUUAGCUAGUAGGGUGGGGUAACGGCUCACCUAGCGACGAUCCCUAGCUGGUCUGAGAGGAUGACCAGCCACACUGGAACUGAGACACGGUCCAGACUCCUACGGGAGGCAGCAGU